rnacentral:pre_miRNA from 1 species
UCGUAGCGCACGCCGUAGCUGGUUGAAACUGGGUCAAAUUGUGCGCUGCUUGCGGUUCAUUUGGUCCCCUUCAACCAGCUGUGGGUGCGCGCCACUCGCUA